AUCCUUUAAAUCACUGGCAGGAUUCUGCAAGUAAGGUUUUGAUUGCUGGACAUGAGCUCCAACUGGCUGGUGUUAGAUCCACACGUAAUAGUGGAGCUAAUUUUAAUUAGAUUGCAAAGCUUUGGGGUUUGCGUAUCGUUUCUGAAUCGGUAGCCAGAUACUUUGAGCUCAUCCGUCAUUCAAGAAUGGAGAAGUUGCAGCUUCAAAGGUACAUUCCACCCUCCUGGGCUGAGAACCUGAAAAAUAUACCGAAAUACAAGAUUAAUGUAAGU